AUUGAACGCUGGCGGAAUGCUUUACACAUGCAAGUCGAACGGCAGCACGGACUUCGGUCUGGUGGCGAGUGGCGAACGGGUGAGUAAUGUAUCGGAACGUGCCCAGUCGUGGGGGAUAACGUAGUGAAGAUUACGCUAAUACCGCAUACGAUCUAUGGAUGAAAGCGGGGGAUCGCAAGACCUCGCGCGAUUGGAGCGGCCGAUAUCUGAUUAGGUAGUUGGUGGGGUAAAGGCCCACCAAGCCAACGAUCUGUAGCUGGUCUGAGAGGACGACCAGCCACACUGGAACUGAGACACGGUCCAGACUCCUACGGGAGGCAGCAGUGGGGAAUUUUGGACAAUGGGCGAAAGCCUGAUCCAGCCAUUCCGCGUGCAGGAUGAAGGCCCUCGGGUUGUAAACUGCUUUUGUACAGAACGAAAAGGUUUCUACUAAUACUAGGAGCUCAUGACGGUACUGUAAGAAUAAGCACCGGCUAACUACGUGCCAGCAGCCGCCGUAA
rnacentral:rRNA from 1 species